CACGUAGGGGGCAAGCGUUGUCCGGAUUUAUUGGGCGUAAAGAGCUCGUAGGUGGUUCGAUAAGUCGGGUGUGAAACCUCCAGGCUCAACCUGGAGACGCCACCCGAUACUGUCGUGACUAGAGUCCAGUAGGGGAGCGUGGAAUUCCUGGUGUAGCGGUGAAAUGCGCAGAUAUCAGGAGGAACACCGGUGGCGAAGGCGGGUCUCUGGGCCGAAACUGACGCUGAGGAGCGAAAGCGUGGGGAGCAAACAGG
rnacentral:rRNA from 1 species